UAGUCAUAUGCUUGUCUCAAAGAUUAAGCCAUGCAUGUCUAAGUAUAAACUGCUUAUACUGUGAAACUGCGAAUGGCUCAUUAAAUCAGUUAUAGUUUAUUUGAUGGUACCUUUACUCGGAUAACCGUAGUAAUUCUAGAGCUAAUACGUGCGUAAAUCCCGACUUCUGGAAGGGACGUAUUUAUUAGAUAAAAGGCCAGCCGGGCUUGCCCGACCUUAGGCGAAUCAUGAUAACUUCACGAAUCGCAGAAACGGCUACCACAUCCAAGGAAGGCAG
rnacentral:rRNA from 1 species